ACCACCAUCAAGUAAAUAUGUUUGCAAAUACUGUGCAUUUAGCUACUGACAUAUUUCCAGCUUUGUUUUUCGGCAGUGCCGGUAAUAUUUUUGCAGAAAUUAUCGUAGCGCGAUGAUGAAUAAUCAAAUAUAUAUUCGUUUGUUUGAGUAUGUUUGAUGACAUGGGCCUAUUGCAUAGCUACAGAAUAGAUAAGAGAACCUUAACAAACUUCUUUCUGAUGGUGAAGAAGGGGUACUGUGACCCCCUUACCACAACUUGUAUCAUGCCUUCACUGUUGGCCACUUCUGCUAUUUGCUCUACGAGAAUAUUAACAGUUUGAAUGCUCUCAGCUUGCCUUUGUGAUGAUCUUGAUCACCGUGGAAACAAACAACAGCUUUCAGGUUCACUCUG